rnacentral:rRNA from 1 species
UACGUAGGGGGCAAGCGUUGUCCGGAUUUAUUGGGCGUAAAGAGCUCGUAGGUGGUUCGGUAAGUCGGGGGUGAAAGCCCACGGCCCAACCGUGGAAGUGCCUCCGAUACUGCGGGGCUCGAGGGAGGUAGGGGCAGCGGGAACUUCCGGUGGAGCGGUGAAAUGCGUUGAUAUCGGAAGGAACGCCGGUGGCGAAAGCGCGCUGCUGGACCUCUGCUGACGCUGAGGCGCGAAAGCUAGGGGAGCGAACGGG